rnacentral:rRNA from 1 species
GGUCCUCGAAAGGGGUCAAGUGCACGCUCUGUUUACACAUCCACUCACACCUGUGCACCCUCUGUAGUUCUAUGGCCUGGGGGCUCUGUCCUCUUGCUGUGGUCCUACGUCUUUACACACACACCGUAAUAGAGUCUCAUGGAAUGUAUCUCGCGUUUAACGCAGUAUAAUACAACUUUCAGCAACGGAUCUCUUGGCUCUCGCAUCGAUGAAGAACGCAGCGAAAUGCGAUAAGUAAUGUGAAUUGCAGAAUUCAGUGAAUCAUCGAAUCUUUGAACGCACCUUGCGCCCUUUGGCUAUUCCGAAGGGCAUGCCUGUUUGAGUAUCAUGAACACCUCAACUCUCAUGGUCCACCAUGAUGAGCUUGGACUUUGGGGGUCUUGCUGGCCUAUCACCGGCUCCUCUCAAAUGAAUCAGCUUGCCAGUGUUUGGUGGCAUCACAGGUGUGAUAACUAUCUACGCUUGUGUUUUCCCACCAGGUAACCUCCAGCAAUGGGGGUUCACUGAAGCUCACAAUUGUCUCUCAUCAGUGGAGACAGCUUUUGAACGUUUGAUCUCAAAUCAGGUAGGACUACCCGCUGAACUUAASCAUAUCAAUAAGCGGAGGAAAAGAAACUAACAAGGAUUCCCCUAGUAACUGCGARUGAAGCGGGAAGAGCUCAAAUUUAAAAUCUGGCGUGCCUCUGGCCGUCCRAGUUGUAGUCUGGAGAAGCGUUUUCCGUGCUGGACCGUGUACAA